rnacentral:misc_RNA from 1 species
GAUGAAGAACGCAGCGAAAUGCGAUACGUAAUGUGAAUUGCAGAAUUCAGUGAAUCAUCGAGUCUUUGAACGCACAUUGCGCCCCCUGGUAUUCCGGGGGGCAUGCCUGUCCGAGCGUCAUUGCUGCCCUCAAGCACGGCUUGUGUGUUGGGCCUCCGUCCUCCUCCCGGGGGACGGGCCCGAUAGGCAGCGGCGGCACCGCGUCCGGUCCUCGAGCGUAUGGGGCUUCGUCACCCGCUCUUGUAGGCCCGGCCGGCGCUUGCCGACACAUCAAUCUUUUUUCCAGGUUGACCUCGGAUCAGGUAGGGAUACCCGCUGAACUUAAGCAUAUCAAUAAGCGGAGGA